rnacentral:rRNA from 1 species
CCUACGGGGGGCUGCAGUGGGGAAUAUUGGACAAUGGGGGGAACCCUGAUCCAGCCAUGCCGCGUGUGUGAAGAAGGCCCUCGGGUUGUAAAGCACUUUCAGUGAGGAAGAACGCCUGGUGGUUAAUACCCAUCAGUAAAGACAUCACUCACAGAAGAAGCACCGGCUAACUCCGUGCCAGCAGCCGCGGUAAUACGGAGGGUGCGAGCGUUAAUCGGAAUUACUGGGCGUAAAGCGCGCGUAGGUGGCUUGAUAAGCCGGUUGUGAAAGCCCCGGGCUCAACCUGGGAACGGCAUCCGGAACUGUCAAGCUAGAGUGCAGGAGAGGAAGGUAGAAUUCCCGGUGUAGCGGUGAAAUGCGUAGAGAUCGGGAGGAAUACCAGUGGCGAAGGCGGCCUUCUGGACUGACACUGACACUGAGGUGCGAAAGCGUGGGUAGCAAACAGGAUUAGAUACCCUAGUAGUC